AGCAACAAAUGCCCUGCUUCCAGGAAAAGCCUCUAAGCAUCAGGUAACAUCAAAUCGUACCCCAAACCGACACAGGUGGUCAGGUAGAGAAUACCAAGGCGCUUGAGAGAACUCGGGUGAAGGAACUAGGCAAAAUGGUGCCGUAACUUCGGGAGAAGGCACGCUGACACGUAGGUGAAGUGAUUUACUCAUGGAGCUGAAGUCAGUCGAAGAUACCAGCUGGCUGCAACUGUUUAUUAAAAACACAGCACUGUGCAAACACGAAAGUGGACGUAUACGGUGUGACGCCUGCCCGGUGCCGGAAGGUUAAUUGAUGGGGUCAGCGCAAGCGAAGCUCCUGAUCGAAGCCCCGGUAAACGGCGGCCGUAACUAUAACGGUCCUAAGGUAGCGAAAUUCCUUGUCGGGUAAGUUCCGACCUGCACGAAUGGCGUAAUGAUGGCCAGGCUGUCUCCACCCGAGACUCAGUGAAAUUGAACUCGCUGUGAAGAUGCAGUGUACCCGCGGCAAGACGGAAAGACCCCGUGAACCUUUACUAUAGCUUGACACUGAACAUUGAGCCUUGAUGUGUAGGAUAGGUGGGAGGCUUUGAAGUGUGGACGCCAGUCUGCAUGGAGCCGACCUUGAAAUACCACCCUUUAAUGUUUGAUGUUCUAACGUGGACCCGUGAUCCGGGUUGCGGACAGUGUCUGGUGGGUAGUUUGACUGGGGCGGUCUCCUCCUAAAGAGUAACGGAGGAGCACGAAGGUUGGCUAAUCCUGGUCGGACAUCAGGAGGUUAGUGCAAUGGCAUAAGCCAGCUUGACUGCGAGCGUGACGGCGCGAGCAGGUGCGAAAGCAGGUCAUAGUGAUCCGGUGGUUCUGAAUGGAAGGGCCAUCGCUCAACGGAUAAAAGGUACUCCGGGGAUAACAGGCUGAUACCGCCCAAGAGUUCAUAUCGACGGCGGUGUUUGGCACCUCGAUGUCGGCUCAUCACAUCCUGGGGCUGAAGUAGGUCCCAAGGGUAUGGCUGUUCGCCAUUUAAAGUGGUACGCGAGCUGGGUUUAGAACGUCGUGAGACAGUUCGGUCCCUAUCUGCCGUGGGCGCUGGAGAACUGAGGGGGGCUGCUCCUAGUACGAGAGGACCGGAGUGGACGCAUCACUGGUGUUCGGGUUGUCAUGCCAAUGGCACUGCCCGGUAGCUAAAUGCGGAAGAGAUAAGUGCUGAAAGCAUCUAAGCACGAAACUUGCCCCGAGAUGAGUUCUCCCUGAGACUUAGAGUCUCCUGAAGGAACGUUGAAGACGACGACGUUGAUAGGCCGGGUGUGUAAGCGCAGCGAUGCGUUGAGCUAACCGGUACUAAUGAACCGUGAGGCUUAACCUUACAACGCCGAAG
rnacentral:rRNA from 3 species